CCUGCCCGUUCAGCCACGACCCGAUAUCCAAACCGACCCCCAAAAAAUCCGAAUGAUUUUAACCCAUACAUAUGGCUUCUCCUACGUUUAUAUGCAGGAAUUUGGUUCAGCCGAUCUGAGGAUGCUGGAAUCAAAACAGAUAAUCAGAAAAUUCUUUAACAUAUGGUUCUUGAAGAACAACCUUUGAACUUUAGAAGUGGGUUUGAAAUUUGAAGUUGAAAAAAGACGAAUCGGAAGUGAUGGAGGCUACUGAAAAAAGUUUUACGGAGGGUCACCAUGGGAGGCGGAGGUCGAAAGGAAGCUCGUUGUUGGGGGUGGAUGCUUUGAUUGUGUUGUUAAUAGUUUCGUUGCAGUACCACUAUACUUUUCUUGAUAUGUGGUUCUUAAUUAUUACAAGAGGAGAAGGAUUGUAAGUUGUAUACAAGUGCCUACUGUUUGUAAUUCAACUUCCACAAAGAAAUUAGAAGCAGACCCAUGUUUUCGUUUGCAUCA